rnacentral:rRNA from 1 species
UACGAGGGGGGCAAGUGUUGUUCGGAAUUACUGGGCGUAAAGGGGGCGUAGGCGGGCUGCCAAGUCAGGGGUGAAAGCCCACGGCUCAACCGUGGAAGUGCCUUUGAUACUGGCAAUCUCGAGGGAGGUAGGGGCGUGCGGAACUUCCGGUGGAGCGGUGAAAUGCGUAGAUAUCGGAAGGAACACCGGUGGCGAAAGCGGCGCGCUGGACCUCUUCUGACGCUGAGGCGCGAAAGCCAGGGGAGCAAACGGG